rnacentral:rRNA from 1 species
UGACGGUACCUGACUAAGAAGCCCCGGCUAACUACGUGCCAGCAGCCGCGGUAAUACGUAGGGGGCAAGCGUUAUCCGGAUUUACUGGGUGUAAAGGGAGCGUAGACGGUCUGGCAAGUCUGAUGUGAAAGGCAGGGGCUCAACUCCUGGACUGCAUUGGAAACUGUCAGUCUUGAGUGUCGGAGAGGUAAGCGGAAUUCCUAGUGUAGCGGUGAAAUGCGUAGAGAUCGGUAGGAACACCAGUGGCGAAGGCGGCUUUCUGGACUGAAACUGACGCUGAGGCGCGAAAGCGUGGGGAGCAAACAGGAUUAGAUACCCUG